rnacentral:rRNA from 1 species
UACGGGGGGGGCAAGCGUUGUUCGGAAUUACUGGGCGUAAAGGGCUCGUAGGCGGCCAACUAAGUCGGACGUGAAAUCCCUCGGCUUAACCGGGGAACUGCGUCUGAUACUGGAUGGCUUGAGUUCGGGAGAGGGAUGCGGAAUUCCAGGUGUAGCGGUGAAAUGCGUAGAUAUCUGGAGGAACACCGGUGGCGAAGGCGGCAUCCUGGACCGAUACUGACGCUGAGGAGCGAAAGCCAGGGGAGCAAACAGG